GACGAACGCUGGCGGCGUGCUUAACACAUGCAAGUCGAACGGAAAGGCCCUGCUUUUGUGGGUUGCUCGAGUGGCGAACGCGUGAGUAACACGUGAGUAACCUGCCCUUGACUUUGGGAUAACUUCAGGAAACUGGGGCUAAUACCGGAUAUGAUCUCCUGCUGCAUGGUGGGCGUUGGAAAGUUUCGGCGGUUGGGGCUGGACUCGCGGCUUAUCAGCUUGUUGGUGGGGUAGUGGCUUACCAAGGGUUUGACGGGUAGCCGGCCUGAGAGGGUGACCGGCGACAAUGGGACUGAGAUACGGACCAGAAGCCUACGGGAGGCAGCAGUGGGGAAUAUGGCACAAUGGGCGGGAGCCUGAUGCAGCAGCGCCGCGUGCGGGAUGACGGCCUUCGGGUUGUAAACCGCUGUCGCCUGUGACGAAGCGGGAGUGACGGUAAUGGGUAAAGAAGCACCGGCUAACUACGUG
rnacentral:rRNA from 1 species